rnacentral:rRNA from 1 species
UACGGGGGGGGCAAGCGUUGUUCGGAAUUACUGGGCGUAAAGGGCGCGUAGGCGGUUUGUUAAGUUGGAUGUGAAAACUCUGGGCUUAACCCAGAGCCUGCAUCCAAAACUGGCAGGCUAGAGUUUUGGAGGGGGAAGCGGAAUCCCUGGUGUAGCAGUGAAAUGCGUAGAUAUCAGGAGGAACACCGGUGGCGAAGGCGGCUUCCUGGACAAAAACUGACGCUGAGGCGCGAAAGCUAGGGGAGCAAACAGG